rnacentral:lncRNA from 1 species
GUACAUGGUUCUUUUGCAGAAGAGAGGCUGCAGAGGUUGGAUGCAUGGAAGGAAGCAGGCAGGGAGGCUGGGGCCGGAUCCUGCUCCAACCCAGAGCAGCUUGAAGCAGGACCUGAGGUUCCCCCACCUCUGGCUGAGGCCCCUUGUGGUCCACGCUCCCUUGGCCAGCCUUUGGCUUGAAGCAGAACCUGGAAAGAAUAGGAAAAGAGGCUGCAGGGGACAAUCCUUCAGCCAUAUUGGAGGCUGCUGCCCAAAUCCCCAAACCGCCCCACUUGGGAGAUCCUGGGAAGAGCUAUUUUGACCCUCCUGGAUGAGGACGCCCUCAGCUCACAUGCUCAGCGCCAGAGAUUCAGGCAUUCCCGCUACCAGGAGGCCAAGGGACCCCGAGAGGUUUGCAGCCGACUCCACCGCCUUUGCAGGGAGUGGCUGGAGCCAGAGAGAGACACCGAGGCUCAGAUCCUGGACCUGGUGAUCCUGGAGCGAUUCCUGGCUGUCCUUCCCCUGGAGAUGGAGAACUGGGUGAAGGAUCAGGGAGCGGAGACCAGUUCCCAGGCAGUGGCCCUGGCCGAAGGUCUCCUCCUGAGCCAGGCAGAGGAGCAGCAGCAGCAGGUGAGACAGUUUCAUCCUGGUAUCUCCCAGAGAUCUGUGGUGGCUAGUGAAUUCUGAGGGUGGUGUCGCUUAAAAGGCGAAAGUGGCUCUUGAGUGCAGAAGGUUCCGGGUUCGAUUUCCGACAUCUUCCGGCGGGGCUAGGAAAUCGUCCCUUCCUGAAACCUGGAGAGAUGCUUCCAGUCUGUGCAGACAGCACGGAUCUAGAUGGUCCAAUGGUCUGGUUCUGGACUAGGCAGCUUCCUUGGUUCCUAUUUAAACAGCUCUUCAUUCUGAAGCAAGAGAACUAGAAACUUGCUUUGCCUUUCACCUGUGCCCUCGAUAUUAUUUGAGCGCAAUUUCAGCACCCCUUCACAUUUUUCUGUUUUUUCCUGUCUAUGUAUUAUUUCCCUACACUGUGCCCACCCCCUCCAGGAAUGUUCUCUCUCUCUCCCUGCUGAGUUGAUUCCCCCUCCCCCCAUAUUUGAGCGAAAGGGAUCCAUAGGUCAUAGAAUAAACAUGUCCCCCAUAUUGGUCUCUACAGCCAGAGAAGGCCCUGCAACUCUCCCAACAUCUUGACCUCAUCCCCAAAGGCGCACUCCUCCAUGGUCUCCAUGCCAACAUCAUCAUGGAUUCCUGGAUUGCAGCGGGUUGGACUAGAUGACCCACAGGGCCCUUCCACUCUAUGAUUCUAUUCACAAUAUUUUCUUACAGUCCUCAGAGGCAGCAGUGCUUCUGAAUACCAGUUUCAGGAGAGGAGAGCGCUCUUCUGCUCGGAUCCUGCCCUCUGGUUCCCUCUGGUUGGCCACUGUGAGAACAGGAUUCUGCCCUAGAAGGGCCACUGACUUGAUCAAGCAGUUCUUCUUAAUGUUUAUAAUAAUAUAAAAAUAGUAUGCAAAUACAGUCAAACCUUGGCUCCUGAACACCUCCGUCUUGGAUUCCUUACGCCAUGAGCAUCACAAUUAUAACAAAUAAGGCUUGACAUAUCUCGCUUUGCAUGUCAUGAUUCUAUCUCAUAUCUUAGUUUCACCUUUUAAGUUGAAUUACUGAAAUAAGUGAACUUUUCCAUGAUAUUCUAAUCUUUCGAGUUUCACCUGUAAUGAUACAUUGGGCAAAAGAUAUAGGUUAUAAUAUACCGGUUGAAUCAUGGGGAAAACUGUGCAAAGAGAUUUUAAAAUUCACAGCAUGUAGUUCAUUAAAAGAAAAUUAUAUGAAGAUGAUGUACCGAUGGUAUUUCACCCCAGUAAAGCUUGCUAAAAUGUAUAAAGAUACCUCUAAUUUAUACUGGAAAUGUAAGGAUAAGGAAGGUAAUUUUUUCCCCUACGUGGUGGACGUGUAAAAAAGUAAAGGGCUUCUGGGAAAUGAUAUACAAUGAACUUUUAAAAAUUCUUAAAAUUACGUAUGUUGAAAAAACCACAGGCUUUUUUACUAGGUGUAAUAGGAGAAAAAAUGCCAAGGAAGCAAAAGAUACUGUUUAUUUAUGCGACUACAGGGGC